AUGGAGUGGAGGGGUGUCCGGAGACCUGCCAUUGCCUAAGGUGAUGGGCUAAGAGGUUAAGAAGCAACUGUGUCCUAGUGAGAGGGAUAUGCCAGCUGAUAGCCAAUGCAGAGCUCUAGUGGUGAAGAUUUUUACUCUGAAGAAACCUCAUUUAAAUAUGAUUGUAAGAUGUUGAGGCCCAGAGAAAGAGGCAUCACAGCAGAGCUAAUUAAAUGAAAAUUAACAAAAUGCAAGCUAUUAUAUUCAGGAGACAUUUUAAAGAUUCCAACUUGCAGUCUGACAACCAAGUUAAUUCUUGCUGGUAGUUCCUGUCUUCUUCAAAAGGAGCUAGGACAGUGCGAUUAUCCCUAAUAUACAGAUGAGGAACAGUGGCUCAGGAAGACCAAGUGAUUUGCCCAAGGUUAAGGAAAGAUUAAAGUGAUGGAACC